GACGAACGCUGGCGGCGCGCCUAACACAUGCAAGUCGAACGAGAGAUGAGGAGCUUGCUCUUCAAAUCGAGUGGCGAACGGGUGAGUAACGCGUGAGGAACCUGCCUCAAAGAGGGGGACAACAGUUGGAAACGACUGCUAAUACCGCAUAAGCCCACGGCUCGGCAUCGAGCAGAGGGAAAAGGAGCAAUCCGCUUUGAGAUGGCCUCGCGUCCGAUUAGCUAGUUGGUGAGGUAACGGCCCACCAAGGCGACGAUCGGUAGCCGGACUGAGAGGUUGAACGGCCACAUUGGGACUGAGACACGGCCCAGACUCCUACGGGAGGCAGCAGUGGGGAAUAUUGCACAAUGGGGGAAACCCUGAUGCAGCGACGCCGCGUGGAGGAAGAAGGUCUUCGGAUUGUAAACUCCUGUUGUUGAGGAAGAUAAUGACGGUACUC
rnacentral:rRNA from 1 species